UACGAAGGGUGCAAGCGUUACUCGGAAUUACUGGGCGUAAAGCGCGCGCAGGUGGUUUCUUAAGUCUGAUGUGAAAGCCCACGGCUCAACCGUGGAGGGUCAUUGGAAACUGGGAGACUUGAGUGCAGAAGAGGAAAGUGGAAUUCCAUGUGUAGCGGUGAAAUGCGUAGAGAUAUGGAGGAACACCAGUGGCGAAGGCGGGUUGCUGGGCCGACACUGACGCUGAGGCGCGAAAGCUAGGGGAGCGAACGGG
rnacentral:rRNA from 1 species